rnacentral:ncRNA from 1 species
ACUCGUGAACUGUGGGGCUUAAUCUCUCCCCCUUCAGAUCCGGGUGCGGGGAAACUCGCUUAACUGAUUCUCAAGGAG